rnacentral:ncRNA from 1 species
CACCAACACUCUGGAGAGACCGGUUGAAUCCGGCGCCGAAGGGGCACGAAGCGCAAGCUUCCAAACUCUCAGGCAAAAGGACAGAGGGGCGCUU